rnacentral:sRNA from 1 species
UAAUCUUAGAUUCAUAUAUAUAAGUUUAUAAAAUUAUUGACUUAUAAUAUUGAUGAGACCAUAUGUUUACAUAUAAUUUUUUUUAAAAAAAUAUUAUCUUAUUAGUUUAUAGAUUUUUAUCAAUUUUUACAACGGUCCCAACUUGAGAUCGCGAGAAUUUACUAAUUUAUAGGGGUUACUAAUUUACCGUUUAUUAACUUAUAGAGAUUUUAUUGUAUGUCAACGUAUAUAUUUGUACGAGCUUUGCAUUUUGAUGAAGAAGUGGUGAUGUCCAAUGGGUUAUGAAGCUUCAUAACUCAUAGGACAAGCACACAAGAUAAAUUUGCUAAUGGAUCCAUCAGCCGAGUCUUGGAAGCCAUUAAGCAAUUGGAAGCAAAAGAUAUUAUGGCGACUAUCGCUAAUAUAUUGACUUUGAUCCAACAGAACCAUCCCAAAGCUCGUAUUAAUUUGAGAACGUUGCUAGACAUUGCGGUGGAAAUUAAAAAAGUCACAAAGCAUAACAUUGAGGAGGAGGGUACACCGCCUUUCUAUGUUACUCGAAGGGAAGCACAAAUCAAUAGUUUCAUAGAUACUUCUGCUCUUGAUGAAUCAAAAGCUUAUCAAACAACAGCUGCUACCUGUUUUAUCCACAAUACGAGGUACUUGGACCAAAUCAAAAUACUUGUAGAUAAUUUAUCGGAUUUAAAAGGUUUAUUAAUUAAGAUCAUAUAUAGGGAAUCUCUUUUGGAAGAAACAGAGGAGAUCUACCAGAGAUGCUUGGCACUUUUUGCCUUGAUGCAUCAGGGUGGAGAGGAUGCCGUAAAUGUCAUUGUAGAAUCUUUGGGUGUUGAGAGUUCCAUGAUACACAUUGAGGUCUGUCAAAUUUCCAUGCAUUUAAUGAUGAUUUUGAGUUUGCCUCAUUGUUCUUCAUCUCUAGAUGCAUUUUGCUUUUGCUUCUUCUUAGGCUGCGUUUGUGUUCGAAUCGAGGUUACGAGCUAAUCUUUUUUGCUAGUUUGUUGCUUUAUUUUACGGAGUCAUUAUUUUUUUUAUUUCUGUUGAGAUGUCAAAUUCUUCAAUUCCAAUUUGUCGAAGCCAAAAAAAGCAUUUUUUC